rnacentral:rRNA from 1 species
AUUGAACGCUGGCGGCAGGCCUAACACAUGCAAGUCGAGCGAGCGGCGGACGGGUGAGUAAAGUCUGGGAGACAGCCCGCUGGAGGGGGAUAACUACUGGAAAAGGUAGCUCAAACCGCACACCAUCAGAUGUGCCCAGAUGGGAUUUGCGAGUAGGUGGGGUAACGGCUCACCUCGGCGACGAUCCCUAGCUGGUCUGAGAGGAUGACCAGCCACACUGGAACUGAGACACGUGCCAGACUGCUACGGGAGGCAGCAGUGGUGAAUAUUGCACAAUGGGCGCAAGCCUGAUGCAGCCAUGCCGCGUGUGUGAAGAGGGCCUUCGGGUUGUAAAGCACUUUCAGCGGGGAGGCGUUACCCGCAGAAGAAGCACCGGCUAACUCCGUGCCAGCAGCCGCGGUAAUUC